GGGCAUGGGGAAAUCUCUUUGAGAAGGACAUGUAUGUGUUUGGAACCCAUGUUAUAUGUAUUUGCUAUGCAAGUCAAAUUCAAUUUACUUUUACUGAAAUACUCCAAAUUGUUUUAUUUCUUAGCACUGACAUAGCCAUACACCCCCAACUUGGUAGCUUAAAGAAGUAGAAAUUUAUUGAUGCAGAUCUGGGUAUUUUCUGUCUAAUAUCUCAGUGUUAGCAUGGCAAUCCUCUGAUGCUCUUAGGAGAAGGUGAUUCUUAUAGUCUUAGACAUACCUUACCCCAAUCACGUUAUUCUGUUUCUACCUUCAUGUCCAUGUGUUCUCCUCUCUGUGUCUGUUCUCCUGUCCAUGUUUCAGUCUUUAUGUAAGGACACUGUUCCUAUAUCAUUUAGAGCUAACUAUAGCCUUGUCUUAAUUCAAUUACAACUGCAAAGAUCAGACUUGUAAAGUAGGUCACAUGGACAAGUUCAGGGUUGUCAUUGAGUUUAGGGGAGAGAAAAUUUAACUUACUUUACUAACUUUUCUAAUAACAAUGAUAGGAUCAAUACUAUGCCAUCAAGUUUCAGAAUAUGAAGAAUAGUAUGGGUUCAAAAACCCUGCUGGCAUGGGAUAUUUAAUGUAACUAACUUAUCUGAAUUUUGUGUUCCCAAGUGUGACAGUGAAGGGAAGGGUGAUAGACACGUCACCAUGAGUCACUUACAUGAAAACUGAAACAAAGUGGGACUUAGGCUUUCUAUACGUGCUGAGGAAUUUCAUACGUCUUCUCCCUUUUGGGCUAUAUUACUAAGUCAAAACACAUCAUCAUCAACAACACCUACAACAUAACAGC
rnacentral:lncRNA from 1 species